UAUAUACUGUCACUAAAAUGGAUAAACUUCUCUGAUAAGAAUGGAUUGAAGUUGAGUUCUUCUGUUUUGCGUUUUCUUAUGUAGGUGUUUUUGUUAUGGAAAUCCUAGGGUGGAGUUCUAGUGUGGAUGAAGUUCUUAGAUCCGCUUCUGGUUCGGUUGAGGAUGUGAAACUGUUUUGCUGUGAUCAAACUCAGAUUUGAGAAGAAGUUCUUUUUGGGUGCGAUUGGUUUUCUUGAUUUCAAUUGAUUUUGUUCAUACCGUGCAGGUUAACCAUUUGCCUUGGAAGUUAUGUUAGAGGCUGCUAUGGAGUUUUCGAUUUUGUAUGGAGGUUAACCAACCAAUUAGUAAGGGCGGAUUCAGGUUGUGGCUUUGAAUCAUGCUGUUGGAGGUUAGGUGGAUAUCAUUUGGGUUGAAAUUCGUUGGACAGUUGGAAGUUCGGUUGGAGUUUGUUAUGAUUCUAUUCUGAAUUCAGUUGAAAUUUGGAAAUUCGGAUCCUUUGGUUUGCACUUGCAGGUGUGAUGCAUAAUUGGUUAAUUACUGCAGAAUUUUUGGACAUAUUUGCUUCAGGAAUGAAUAGAAAGUCUGAAGGUUAUUAGUUAGCUUGGGAAUUUCGGCUUGGAUGCGGCUACGAAGCGCAUUGGAUGGCGGGGCUGUUUUGGAAUUCUUAUGGAGUGCUAUGGCCUUGAUGAUGUUGAUUCGCUACUGUUAGAAAAAUCAUAUGUAAUGGAUUGGGAUAUAUCGAAUGUAUUGAAAUGGUUGGGUAGUGACUAUUGUAAUUUGGUUAGAUAAUAUUUAAUUGAAAGUGAAUGAAAAUUUGAAUGGUUUAUGAAAUA